rnacentral:rRNA from 1 species
GAUGAACGCUGGCGGCGUGCCUAAUACAUGCAAGUCGAGCGAACAGACGAGGAGCUUGCUCCUCUGACGUUAGCGGCGGACGGGUGAGUAACACGUGGAUAACCUACCUAUAAGACUGGGAUAACUUCGGGAAACCGGAGCUAAUACCGGAUAAUAUAUUGAACCGCAUGGUUCAAUAGUGAAAGACGGUUUUGCUGUCACUUAUAGAUGGAUCCGCGCCGCAUUAGCUAGUUGGUAAGGUAACGGCUUACCAAGGCAACGAUGCGUAGCCGACCUGAGAGGGUGAUCGGCCACACUGGAACUGAGACAUGGUCCAGACUCCUACGGGAGGCAGCAGUAGGGAAUCUUCCGCAAUGGGCGAAAGCUUGACGGAGCAACGCCGCGUGAGUGAUGAAGGUCUUCGGAUCGUAAAACUCUGUUAUUAGAGAAGAACAAAUGUGUAAGUAACUAUGCACGUCUUGACGGUACCUAAUCAGAAAGCCACGGCUAACUACGUG